rnacentral:tRNA from 1 species
UCGCGUCGCUGGCCGACUCGCACGGACCGCCGGCGUUGCUGGCGUCGGCCCGCGAGCGGCUCCGUUCGAUCGGCGCGGGC